CACCUUUAAACUUAUUUUCAAAACAGCAAAUUCAUAACCUCACAAGCACCACAAAACAUUCUAAAACAUGGGAAUUUUUGAAGUAGGAAUGGAACAAGUAAAUAUUGGCUUGAGAUAAAUAGAGAAAGGGAGGCUUUUGAAACCCUAGUGCAAACCAACAUGGUUACUCCUAUUCUCAAACUACAUCCACAUCAUUUCACACAUCCAACAUCACACCACCACAUCGCACGACAACUCAUGUCAUCACAAACCACAUAUGAUCACAAAGAAA
rnacentral:lncRNA from 1 species